UUGGCCUUAUUCAUAAUUGAAAGUGAGAAAAUGUCAUUUUUAUUUCCUGCUAAUGUUUUUUUCUAUCCUAGAGUAUAUAACCAUAUGAGCAAUCUUCUUUUUGAACAUUUUGAAAUCCCAUUUUUGUUUUAGCCAAGCACUCAUUGAACACCCCCAGAAUGACCUCAUGUGCAGAUGCUCUACUGAGGUUCAUAGCUGAGCCCAAUAAUUAAGAAAUUAAACUGGGGCUCCUUUGGACGAUUACUGCAAUUCAAAUGACUUAUUUCUUGGAAUUCAUGGUUCUCAUUUAUACAUAAUUGCUUAUUUUAAGUCAUAUGGCCAAAUCAAGAAUGAUAGAGUAAGUACCAGAAUUUAAACUUAAAAUUACAAAAUUAGAAAAUUACAGGAAUAAACAUGAAGCACCUUCAUUAAUUCCUGAAAUCUGGUAUUUUUUGUACCUUUUGCUGAUCUCCCAACUUUCCAGACUCCCAGGCCCUCAUCCAACCCAGGGAUGCCCAUUGGGUAGCCACAGAUAUUACCAUCUGUUAAGCUUUUAAAUACCUCUGCCAUUACUUUAGACCUAAAAAUAACUCGGGCUUGGGAUCAUCGCAAACAUUUGUUGGCAGAUGCUAAAAAUACAAAUGGGAAAUUCUGCUAUAUUAGCUUUUAUAAGAUGUAAAAAAUGUGUUUUGUCAAACCAAAAGACAUACUUAGGAGACUUGUGGGUAAGAAGGAUGGCAACUUAUUGGAAGACAACAAGGGGAAAUUGAGCUGGAAGAGGAACAAACAGAAGUGAAGUUGGGGACUUUGUUAAAGGAAAGUACACUUGUUAUUAGUCUGCACGAUAUAAUUCUUUUUGAAGGAAAGUAAGCUUACAAAAGCAGGGCAGUGUCUGUCCUGCUUUUGUUCCUGAGAACAUGAGAAAAAAAAUGAGAACAUACACAUUCUAUCAAAUGAUCAGUAUAUGAAGCAAAUUAUAUCCUGUUAACAGGCAAAACUGGUACCAUAGAGAUGGUGAUGGGUCUGAAAGAACACACAAGAUGUAUUAGAACAGAUAUGUACUUUUAAAAUGAUCUCCUAUAUAACUGAUUUCCUUUUAUAAAAGGAAUCACUGAGAACUGUUUCUGAUCUUGUUCCUAAUUUUAUUUCUUCUAAUGUGAAAAUGCCUAUCAGGCAUUUCUUAUUGAAAACUAAAAUAAUGUCCUUGCCAAUCCCAGAAGAGGAGAAAGGAAUAACUCCUGGGGAGAAAGAAGGGGGAAGAAGAAGGUGUGAAGAGUGUUGAAGUAAAGGAAUGCUGUUUUGGCAUCUCAUCCAUGUCGGUGACAGCAGGUGCCACAGAGGAAAAGACAACCAAAUAAAGGGCAAGGAAACCAGGAGAGCAGACACAAAGGGGGAAACAGAUCCCUCUGCCCUGUGCCUCAUUAAUCUUGUCAAAAAUACUUGCUGCUGAGAAAUGCUAAUCUUCUCACUCCCCAGAGUAGCCUCCCUCACAAGAAUGUUUUAAAGGCCUGGUAUAUCUAAUGACUGAGCCAUUUAAUAAAUUACUUACUUACGUUACUAUAAAAGCUAGUCCAGCAGCUGUAACCUACAUGUAAAGCACUAAAUCCUUUUACCUGAUUUCUAAAGGUUUCUCUAAAUCAUAUUUAGUGACAGGGUGAGGUACACAGGAAUCAGGAUUUAGUGGCAGGGCAUACCUCAUGCUGUUUCGAGUAGGUCAGGAGG
rnacentral:lncRNA from 1 species